UGAGUAACACGUAUCCAACCUGCCGUCUACUCUUGGACAGCCUUCUGAAAGGAAGAUUAAUACAAGAUGGCAUCAUGAGUCCGCAUGUUCACAUGAUUAAAGGUAUUCCGGUAGACGAUGGGGAUGCGUUCCAUUAGAUAGUAGGCGGGGCAACGGCCCACCUAGUCUUCGAUGGAUAGGGGUUCUGAGAGGAAGGUCCCCCACAUUGGGACUGAGACACGGUCCAA
rnacentral:rRNA from 1 species